rnacentral:rRNA from 1 species
CUCCCGCCGGCGACCGGCGCACGGGUGAGUAACACGUAUGAAACCUGCCCGUAGCAGGGGGAUAAGCGGAAGAAAUUCCGUCUAAUACCGCGUAACAACCCGAGGAGGCAUCUCCUCGGGUUUAAAGGAAGCGAUUCCGGCUACGGAUGGUCAUGCGUCGCAUUAGCUAGUCGGCGGGGUAACGGCCCACCGAGGCGACGAUGCGUAGGGGUUCUGAGAGGAAGGUCCCCCACACUGGUACUGAGACACGGACCAGACUCCUACGGGAGGCAGCAG